GACGAACGCUGGCGGCGCGCUUAACACAUGCAAGUCGAACGAUGAACCCGGAGCUUGCUCCGGUGGAUUAGUGGCGAACGGGUGAGAAACACGUGAGUAACCUGCCCUUGACUCUGGGAUAACUGCGGGAAACUGUAGCCAAUACCGGAUACGACCCUCGGCGGCAUCGCCAGGGGGUGGAAAGAAUUUCGGUCAAGGAUGGACUCGCGGCCUAUCAGCUAGUUGGUGAGGUAACGGCUUCCCAAGGCGACGACGGGUAGCCGGCCUGAGAGGGUGACCGGCCACACUGGGACGGAGACACGGCCCAGACUCCUACGGGAGGCAGCAGUGGGGAAUAUUGCACAAUGGGCGCAAGCCUGAUGCAGCAACGCCGCGUGAGGGAUGACGGCCUUCGGGUUGUAAACCUCUUUUAGUAGGGAAGAAGCGAAAGUGACGGUACCUGCAGAAAAAGCACCGGCUAACUACGUGCCAGCCGCCGCGGUAA
rnacentral:rRNA from 1 species